UAGGGAAUCUUCCGCAAUGGACGCAAGUCUGACGGAGCAACGCCGCGUGAGUGAAGAAGGAUUUCGGUUCGUAAAACUCUGUUGUUAGAGAAGAACAGCGCAUAGAGUAACUGUUAUGCGUGUGACGGUAUCUAACCAGAAAGGGACGGCUAACUACGUGCCAGCAGCCGCGGUAAUACGUAGGUCCCGAGCGUUGUCCGGAUUUAUUGGGCGUAAAGCGAGCGCAGGCGGUCAAUUAAGUCUGAUGUGAAAGCCCCCGGCUCAACCGGGGAGGGUCAUUGGAAACUGGUUGACUUGAGUGCAGAAGAGGAGAGUGGAAUUCCAUGUGUAGCGGUGAAAUGCGUAGAUAUAUGGAGGAACACCAGUGGCGAAGGCGACUCUCUGGUCUGUAACUGACGCUGAGGUUCGAAAGCGUGGGUAGCAAACAGG
rnacentral:rRNA from 1 species